rnacentral:rRNA from 1 species
GAUUACUUAAGCGGAGAGACGACGAUGAGAUUGCUCCCAGGAGUCGAGCGGCGGAGGCGUUUAUUAACUUUGUGAAUCUGCCCAUUAGUGGUGGAUAACUCCGGGAAACUCGAGCUAAUACCGCAUAAUCACUACGGGGGAAAGAAGGGGAUCUUCGGACCUUGUUCUGAUGGAUGAGCCCGCCUCUCAUUAACUUGUUGGUGGGGUGGUGUCCCACCAAGGCGACGAUCCGUAGCUGGUCUGAGAGGAUGGCCAGUCUCCCCGGGACUGAGAUACGGCCCGGACUCCUACGGGAGGCAGCAGUGGGGAAUCUUGAAUGUGGGCGCAAGCCUGAUCCAGCCAUGCCGCGUGUGUGAAGAAGGCCUUCGGGUUGUAAAGCACUUUCAGUAGGGAGGAAGGCUUUGGGCUAAUACCCUGGAGUACUUGACGUUACCUACAGAAGAAGCACCGGCUAAUUUCGUGCCCGCAGCCGCGGGUAAUACGAAAGGCGCGAGCGUUAAUCGGAAUUACUGGUUGUAAAGCGCGCGUACGCGGUGUGUUAACUCGGAUGUAAAAACCCAGGGCUCAACCGUGGAAUUGCGUCCGAUACUGCCACGCUAGAGUGCACUAAAGGGAGGUGGAAUUUCCGGUGUUCGGAGAUUUGCGUAGAGAUCCGAAGGAACACCAGUUGGAGAAGGCGGCCUCCUGGACUGACACUGACGCUUGAUGUGCGAAAGCGUGGGGAGCAGACAGGAUUAGAUACCUGAUAGUCCACGCCGUAACGAUGUCUACUAGCCGUUGCGGUCCUUUAGUGACUUUGGUGGGGAACUUACGCGAUAAGUAAACCGCUGAGGAGUACCGCCGCAGGUUAAAUCUCAAAUGAUUGACGGGGGCCCCGCAUAGCGGGGGGAGCGUGCGGUUUAUUGAGUGGCA